rnacentral:ncRNA from 1 species
AUGUAAAUGGCAAACUUAUUGAAAAAUAAGGACGCAAAGCUAUAGGGUCUACACAUGAGCUUCAUGUACGACAGCCAGUUGCCAU